UACAAAUUUCUAAUUCUAAAUUUAUCGUUAACAAUAACAUAUAUCAAAUUGGGAACAUUUUUUGCCUCGAAAUCUCAGCGAAAACUUGUAAACAGUACAGCUUCUCAGAUUGAGUUGGUGCUGAAAAGUUCAAGAAUGUCCAACUCCGUGGCCCCCUUCUCCUCCUAGCCGACGAUAUAGUCAUUAUUGUUGAUGCAGAUGAUGAUAACACGGAGGAGAACCCUGGAUUUCCCUCUGUAAACACUAGAUCCCAAGGGUAUGAUUGCUCUCUGUAGACCAGGAAAUCAGCCAAUGGUAUCAGUGUGAAGCUUCUUAUCGGGGUCGUCUUUCAAAGAGAACUUGAUUUUCCCAUUCUGUGUGAAGCAUCUCUCAACUUUAUCAUCCUUGGCCAGCUCCAUCAGAAAGUUGUAGUUCAACUUGGUUGGAUCUUCAGUCAUAUAAUAAGGUUUCCAUCAUCAUCGUAUUCAUCUUCAUCCUUCUCUAUUCUUCUCUUCUUUAACUCUUUAAACUAAAAUAAAAAAGAUUGUUUAACAAUUAUUUAAAGAUAUGGUUUUAAACCGAACCAAUGCUAUU